rnacentral:rRNA from 1 species
UACGUAGGGUGCAAGCGUUGUCCGGAAUUACUGGGCGUAAAGCGCUUGUAGGCGGUCCACCAAGUUUGGGGUGACAGUUGCCGACUUAAUCGGCAAAGUGCCUCAAAGACUGGCGGACUUGAGGGCCACAGAGGGACAUGGAACUCCAGGUGUAGUGGUGAAAUGCGUAGAUAUCUGGAAGAACACCAAAGGCGAAGGCAGUGUCCUGGGUGGUCGCUGACGCUGAGAGGCGAAAGCGUGGGGAGCGAACGGA